GGGUACGAGGCGGAGCCUCAGGCCUCGGGGAAGUUCGGGUAGACUCGGAAAGGGGCGUGGUCUCGUCAGUUGGAGGCGGACCCCGAGUUUCGCUCAGUUACGCCACCUGGCGACUCGCUCCAGCGGGGGAGGCUGGUUAGGAAAGCUCGGGCAGACCUGAUAGCAUCCUCUGGGUGUGCUCGGUCUCCGUGGGAAAUAGGGGACUAGCCCUAUGAACAAAAAGGCGCCUGAGACGCAGCGAGCAGAAGUCUGAAAAUACAUUCAGCAUCAUUAGACAUCACAGAAAUGCACAAGAAACCACGACCCAAGAGGAGAACUAUCCAAGGAAAGCAAAGGCCAGUGAAGACAGGGUCCUGUGCGGCCCACUCCUGGCCCUCCGUACAACAAAACAAUACGCCCCUUCCCUCGAAUACUGGAAUGACAGACAAGUGCCACCAACUCAGCCAACCUAAGCUCUUUUUUUUUUCCCUAAGUAAAACAGAAUACACACCAUGUCACUACUAUCAAAAUUGCUAUCAUGAUUCAACAGUCAUGACCCGCUGGCUAGGAUCCCUUCUGACAGGUGGACCCUGAGACCAUGGGACAGUGGAAGCCGCAGGCAAGUAGGACACAUACCUUGUCUGUGCGAGCACACCGCUGGAAAGACAUCUUCCUCAUAUCUGUGCCAUGGUUUUCAGGGAUACAACCUGCCUGGACUAAUGCCGAUACCAAGUCAUCUUCGAUGGUCCUGAACUGGGAGGACCCCAGAUUCCUCUAAAGAAAAAAGGGGAUAACCUGUUUUCAUGAGCUCUCAGGACAGAUGCACUCCAGAAAGCCGACCAUCACUUCUGCAACCAGCUCCAGCGCUGUGCCUCUCAGCCUUCCCUAACCAUAUGUUUAUGGUGUCCUUGACCCCGUGAGGUCAGACACGUCAGCAUCCCACCAAUCCUCACAAUAGAGACUAGGUCCAAGACUGUCAGGGAAAAACCUUCCCACGUGGAUAGCAGGGCAUGCGAACACUUCAACCACGCUCCCUGGCUGAGACAGUCUUUUCAUAGCCUGCUCUACCCAUUGUGGCCCGUUGCCAUAGACGAAGUCAGGAACACUUCCCAAGCAACAUAAAAAGACCGUAACAAAAAGUGACUACAAGCCUCACUCAGCAAUGUGAGACGGGCAUCUCUGCCAUACCAAGUGGGUAAACAGAGAUAAACAGGAUAUUUACUGAGAAAAGACAGCCUUAAAAAAACCUUGCACUGUCAGAACCACUCCCCAAAAGCAGACCAGUCAUCCCAGAAGCAGUGCAGUCUGUGCUUCCUCAGGAACAUCACAGCCUAGGCCAUGUGAAAAGCACCGUCCAGCCCAAAGGCACCUUGAGUUUCACUGCUGAAGCCUAUGUGUUUCUCACUGGAGAGGGACAAAGCCUGACUGUACCCAGACUAUCCUUGAACUUGGCAAUCCUCCUGCAUCAACUUCCCGGAUGCCAGGAAGACAGGCUAUGCAGCACCAUCCCAGUCGGGCUACAUGAAACCUCUGUCAUUCAUUCUCAAAGUCAUCAUCAUGUCUGGUCAGACUCCGUUCCGGAGCCACUGUUCUGGUUGGACACCUCACAGCAACGAACUCCACCCUCUGGCUCAAGAUCAAGGUUUUAAAAAGUGGGGAAAGUGACCAGAGAGACGGCUCAGCAGUUAAGAGCACUUCUAGAGGAGUGGGCUUGAUUCUCAGCACCCAGAUGGCAGCUCACAAGUGCCUGUCACUCCAGCCCCAGGGGAUGGUACACCCUCUCCUGGCCUGUGAGCAGAACAUGCACACAGUACACAGACAAGCAGGCAGGCAAACCACCCAUAUACACCGAAGAAAUUAAAGGUUCAAAUUUGUCUGAGAGAAAAUUACAAAUUCAAACAAUGGAGUUGAAGGGGUUUGCAACCCCAUGGGAAGAACAACAAUAUUAGCCAACCAGACUUCCGAGAGCUCCCAGGGACUAAGCCAUCAACCAAGGAGUACACACGUCUCCAGCUGCAUAUGUAGCAGAGGAUGGCCUUGUCAGACAUUAAUGAGAAGAAAGGUCCUCGGUCCUAUGAAGGCUAGAUAGAUGCUCCAGUCCAGUGGAGGGGAAUCGAGGGCAGGUGGGAGUGGGUGGAUGGGUGGAGGAACACCCUCAUAGAAGCAGGGGGGAUGGGAUAGGGGUUUCCGGGAUCAGGGAAAACAAGGAAAGGGGAUAACAUUUGAAAUAGAAAUAAAAUAUCCAAUUUUUUUUAAAAAAAGG
ensembl:antisense Gm15559 predicted gene 15559